GGACGAACGCUGGCGGCACGCUUAACACAUGCAAGUCGAACGGAGAUAAUUGAGUUACUUAGAUUAUCUUAGUGGCGGACGGGUGAGUAACACGUGAGCAACCUACCUUAGAGAGAGGGAUAGCUUCUGGAAACGGAUGGUAAUACCUCAUAACAUAACUGAACCGCAUGAUUUGGUUAUCAAAGAUUUAUCACUCUGAGAUGGGCUCGCGUCUGAUUAGAUAGUUGGUGAGGUAACGGCUCACCAAGUCGACGAUCAGUAGCCGGACUGAGAGGUUGAACGGCCACAUUGGGACUGAGACACGGCCCAGACUCCUACGGGAGGCAGCAGUGGGGAAUAUUGCACAAUGGGGGAAACCCUUGAUGCAGCGAUGCCGCGUGGAGGAAGAAGGUUUUCGGAUUGUAAACUCCUGUCUUAAAGGACGAUAAUGACGGUACUUUAGGAGGAAGCUCCGGCUAACUACGUGCCAGCCGCGGC
rnacentral:rRNA from 1 species